rnacentral:rRNA from 1 species
UAAUACGUAGGGUGCGAGCGUUGUCCGGAAUUACUGGGCGUAAAGGGCUCGUAGGUGGUUUGUCGCGUCGUCUGUGAAAUUCUGGGGCUUAACUCCGGGCGUGCAGGCGAUACGGGCAUAACUUGAGUGCUGUAGGGGUAACUGGAAUUCCUGGUGUAGCGGUGAAAUGCGCAGAUAUCAGGAGGAACACCGAUGGCGAAGGCAGGUUACUGGGCAGUUACUGACGCUGAGGAGCGAAAGCAUGGGUAGCGAACAGG